rnacentral:rRNA from 1 species
GUGGAUUAGAUACCCGGGUAGUCCAGACCGUAAACGGUGGGCACUAGUUGUGGGAACCUUCCACGGUUUCUGCGACGCAGCUAACGCAUUAAGUGCCCCGCCUGGGGAGUACGAUCGCAAGAUUAAAACUCAAAGGAAUUGACGGGGCCCCGCACAAGCAGCGGAGCAUGCGGCUUAAUUCGACGCAACGCGAAGAACCUUACCAAGGCUUGACAUAUAGGGAAAAGUGGCAGAGAUGUCAUGUCCGCAAGGGCUCUAUACAGGUGGUGCACGGCUGUCGUCAACU